ACAUGGAAACUAGGAUGUUGGCAGCUUUUAUAUCACGAUGGAUGAUACCUGCAUGAUGAAUAAAUUUUAAUGCCUGUAAGGUCUCUCUAAGGAUCAAAGAUAUGCAUGGUUCACUAAUGGGACCAGCCUCCAUCAAAGUACGCACGCUACCUCCAUGACAAUAAUCCAUUAUAAUCCAUAAAUUAGUACCUACCAAAUAAGAGCCAUGAUACUUUAUAAUGUUUUCGACAUCGGACUGUUUCAAUUCACUAAGAACAGCGACUUCUUUCUGAAUAUCAGAGACUUCAUCCUCAUCGGUAUCCAAAUUAAGAAUCUUGAUGGCAACAGUCUCUUUCGUUAAAUUGCAAAUUCUUUAGAAUGUUAGAAAAUGUAGAAAAGAAUCACUCGAAUAAUAUUCAUACCCUCUAUAGACUGCGCCGUACGAACCGCGUCCCACCAAUUCUAAUUUUGUGUACGGCGAAGAAGCAGUGUUAUUUUCCAUUUCUAAUAACUUUAGCUGCUUAGCAGAUACAUGAAGAAUUUUAAUUGAACAGGUUCAAUUCAAACUCCUUCAAUUCCCUUUCACUUUUUCUAUACUGCUGGUGGUAGCGGGUACGAAGGAAUUGAGUAGAUAUAUAUUGAAAAACUGUUUACUAUAAUACUCAAUUUGUGCAAUCCCUAA